ensembl:lncRNA
GCGUGAGGUUACGCUGUCUCCGUGGCCUCCUUUCACUGAGCCAAGCCCAUGCAGGUAGCGCGGGGCAAGCACGGGCCUGGGAGGCUUUGCAGCCAAGGGAGGCGGACAGCGAAGCCCCGGCGCAGGGAGGGAAACACCUCUUUCAAGGUCAGAGAGGCACCAGGAACGUCUCUGGCUUGGGACUGACCGCGCUGUGUGGCAGGCUGCUUUUCAGGGCAGGGAAGGGCACGUGUUUUAGCAGAAGAGGGCAUGGUGGGGGUGGCACAGCAGCUCAAAGAGACAGGAGUCAAGACAAAGCAAGGACGUCAAACGCUCAGCUUUUGUUUCCGUGCUGCCACAGGGAGAAAGCUCCAUGCCAGGGGGAUGCAGCUGGUGGCAGCCCUACGCGGACAGGUUUUGGUGUGGUCCAGGCAAGGAGACAGGCCAUCAGUGCUGUGCUCAGUCUCAUAACGCCCACAGACACGUCCUCUCACAUGGUAGCAUGGUCAGGCAGCAGAACAAGCACGUGUCAGACAGUUAAGAUAAAGGGAGGAACAGCCAGGAAUAAAUCACGCCGAGCCAGCCAGACUUCCUUCUUUGUCAGCGCAACGAGCUCUCAGGGAGGCAAGCAGGGUAGACGCCAGUAAAUCUCUGGCCUUGUCUCCUCUGCCGUUCUCACAAGGAGCUACGGCGCAGAGGCAACGCUGCCAGGAGUUUUGCUGUCAAAACAAGGCUGUGGUGAGCAGGCGCUUUUUGGGGCUGGAUGUUGCCAGACCUGGAAGGGGCUACAAGGACGCUAAAGGAUAAGCUGUGAAGCUGAGAUCAUCUCAGUAAAUCAGAAAAGGGGCUUGAAAUCAGACUGCGUCUCUCCAGAGACAGGCCUGGAGCUUAUGCCGAGCGCCAGAUGGGACCACGUGCAGCUGCAGAGAGGGGCCAGGGGAGAUGGGUCUCAGACAGAGCAUGAGUCAGAGGCCAGAGGGCUGUGGAGAAGACAUCCUGUGAGGCUACAUAAACAGGAGUGUCAGCCGGAGGGGCAAAUGAGGUAAUCCUCCCAGCUAGGGAGGCCAACUUGGGUACCACCCAGCAACAAACUGGUGAGUGAUGGGCAAAACAGUGGAAACCCCAACCUGUGAGGAGGGACUAGAGAAGGCUGCAGACAUCACAGCAGCCUAGUCACGUUUUGACCCAGACUGAACAAAAUGAAUGAAAACGCCACUUAACAGCAUGUCCUCACUGUCACACUCCCAUUCACUGCUACCUGCUUCACUCUCAGCUCUCCCCAAAUCCUCCCUUGCAUGGCUUAUUUCUGCUAAUAACAUUUCGGCGCUGUGGGACAAACAAGACAACUGUAUUUCUGUAUCCAUCUGUAUCCAUACUCAGGAAACUGCAGCAAAGACCCUGGCCCCAGAGCAUUUCUAGUUACCAUUAUGUCCAAUCUAACGUUUUCAAACAGCAAAAAAAAUGAUUUUACUGUCACCCUAACUAGCCAGAUGGUAUUAGCAUGCAACAAGGCUUUAUUGAAGGGUUAGAGAGGAGAAACACGAAGAAUUUGGGUGGAAAAAAACAAACACACACACACACUACCAUACACAGACCUGCACAAUACACACACACACACACACAACCAUACACAGACCUGCACAACUG